GACACUUUGGCCGAGUGGUUAAGGCGAUGCCCUGCUAAGGCAUUGGGGUCUCCCCGCGUGUGUUCGAAUCGCACAGGUGUCG